CAGCAGCCACGGUAAUACGGAGGGUGCAAGCGUUAAUCGGAAUUACUGGGCGUAAAGCGCACGCAGGCGGUCUGUCAAGUCGGAUGUGAAAUCCACGGGCUCAACCUGGGAACUGCAUUCGAAACUGGCAGGCUAGAGUCUUGUAGAGGGGGGUAGAAUUCCAGGUGUAGCGGUGAAAUGCGUAGAGAUCUGGAGGAAUACCGGUGGCGAAGGCGGCCCCCUGGACAAAGACUGACGCUCAGGUGCGAAAGCGUGGGGAGCAAACAGGAUUAGAUACCCCAGUAGUCCCUGUCUCUUAUAA
rnacentral:rRNA from 1 species